rnacentral:rRNA from 1 species
GGGGCAGCAUUUUAGUUUGCUUGCAAACUGAAGAUGGCGACCGGCGCACGGGUGAGUAACACGUAUCCAACCUGCCGAUAACUCCGGGAUAGCCUUUCGAAAGAAAGAUUAAUACCGGAUGGCAUACGAAUAUCGCAUGAUAUUUUUAUUAAAGAAUUUCGGUUAUCGAUGGGGAUGCGUUCCAUUAGUUUGUUGGCGGGGUAACGGCCCACCAAGACUACGAUGGAUAGGGGUUCUGAGAGGAAGGUCCCCCACAUUGGAACUGAGACACGGUCCAAACUCCUACGGGAGGCAGCAGUGAGGAAUAUUGGUCAAUGGGCGAGAGCCUGAACCAGCCAAGUAGCGUGAAGGAUGAAGGCUCUAUGGGUCGUAAACUUCUUUUAUAUGGGAAUAAAGUUUUCCACGUGUGGAAUUUUGUAUGUACCAUAUGAAUAAGGAUCGGCUAACUCCGUGCCAGCAGCCGCGGUAAUACGGAGGAUCCGAGCGUUAUCCGGAUUUAUUGGGUUUAAAGGGAGCGUAGGUGGAUUGUUAAGUCAGUUGUGAAAGUUUGCGGCUCAACCGUAAAAUUGCAGUUGAAACUGGGAGUCUUGAGUACAGUAGAGGUGGGCGGAAUUCGUGGUGUAGCGGUGAAAUGCUUAGAUAUCACGAAGAACUCCGAUUGCGAAGGCAGCUCAC